GAAUAAGUAACUUGAAGAUUCAUGAUCCCAAUACAAAAGCAUGUAUCUCAUCCCAGCUAGAGGCAGUAUAGAGAACACCAGAAAGUCCCGUCCAACUUGAUGAGUCUGACCCAGCAUACAUCUUCUGCUUCUGGAGAACACCUGGAAAAAGAGGAACAAAAGAAACACCAAAAUGAUUCCCCAUCCUCCUCAGACUUGAGCUCGAACCAAGCACAAUGCCAACAUCUGCUUCCAGCAAGCAAAGCAAGUCGC
rnacentral:misc_RNA from 1 species